rnacentral:sRNA from 1 species
GAUGUACCUCCCAUAGGAAACGAUGACUGGCUGGGCUGCUGGGGUCACCACAUGAAGUCUCCUAGUUUCCGAUCUAUUCGAGAGCAUCAGAAGGUAGGGGCCCUUUCUGAGGAGCUGUUUCCCUGGACUUUGGACUAGGCCAAGAGGAGGGUGAUGAUGUGAGUAGGGGGUAGGGGGCAGGAAGAGGGUGAUGACCAUGGAGAAGUCAGGAAGGUGUACAGAGGAGAAAGUACAGGACGGGGGUACAGUGAGAGACUCCAGUGGAUCACGUACAUCUCCAGUUCAGCUGCAGUAUCUUGGAGUUUCUUGCCUAUGUAGGGGGCAGCUGAGUCCCUCUCCUGAACUCCAACCUCAUAGGAGGAUGUAACUCUGAAAUCCUGCAGUUGCAGCUUCUCAAAGAUGCUUUUUCCUCUAAUGUGUCUUGAGUUAGAUUGUCUGUUUUCUGUUUAUUAUGUUUCCCUAUGACCACUGCACAUUCCAUUCUCCCAAGCUGAAUAUGUGUAAAGAGGACUUCUGGUCUCACGUUGGAAUGAAUGAGUCCCUUGCCCCCAGACUUACUAAAGGCGAAAUGCUUUUCUGUCCUGAUCCCAUAGGGUUUCAUGGAAAAAGACGUAAUAGCUUUUUCUUUGCACUUAAGGUGAAUAUCAUGUCUGUCUUACAUUACUCUGUUUUGUCUGUGUUUUAAUCAUCUUUUGGUGAGUGCUCCGCAUUUGGAUACUUAAGGACCAUUAGGGUGGUGAUAGUAAGAUGGAACAAAAGCUUGGAGUGCUGCUAAAGAAGUUGGAAUGGUAGAGUGAGUCCUGUCAUCUUCCUCAUGGCCUCACCUCUGCCGUCUUCCUGCACUCACCCUAUUCCCUUUUGUAGCUAAACCAUUUCCCAGGCUCAUUCCAGAUUGGGAGGAAGGACCGGCUAUGGCGGAACCUGUCACGCAUGCAGAGCCGCUUUGGCAAGAAGGAGUUCAGUUUCUUCCCCCAGUCCUUUAUCCUGCCCCAGGACGCCAAGCUCCUGCGCAAAGCGUGGGAGAGCAGCAGCCGCCAAAAGUGGAUUGUGAAGCCACCAGCAUCAGCUCGAGGCAUUGGCAUCCAGGUUAUUCACAAGUGGAGUCAGCUCCCCAAGCGAAGGCCCCUCCUGGUACAGAGGUGAGCCUGUAGCACAUAUCCCUUACCCCAUCCUCCCACGUCCUUGGCCUCAAGCUUCCCUUCUUACAAUGUUCAGCCCUUUUGUUCUCCCAGCCAGAGUGCUUCCUUAGCCAACUGUUCUAAGGUCUUUAUCUUGGGGACUGUUAGCUGGCUUUUGCUGUGGCUUGGUUACCCACUGAGCCCCAUCGUCUGGCUGGAUGAGAAGCUGGCCUUUGUCCUAUGUAGGUAUCUACACAAACCCUACCUCAUCAGCGGCAGCAAAUUUGAUCUGCGGAUCUAUGUUUACGUCACUUCCUAUGAUCCUCUGCGGAUUUACCUCUUUUCAGAUGGACUGGUCCGCUUUGCCAGUUGCAAGUAUGUGACAGUGGUGAGGUAUCCUCUGACAAUAUUGGGGAUUUUAUUUUCCUUGGAGGGAGGGAAACUAGAAGACACCAAACAGAAAAAUCACAAAUAUUUUGAUAGUUUUUGUUAGCAAGGGGGAAGGCAGGAAAUGGGAAAUUUGGAGGCUCUCUACUUCGUUAAAUCUGGGGAGGGUCUUCCUGCAUGCGGGACUGAGGUGGGAGAAAGGAGAUGAAUUUAGCUGUGGUUUUUCAGAACUUUGCCAAUAGACACACUUCUCAGGCUCUUGUGGCUAUGAAAAGAUCUGUGUACUUGUUCUUCACCUCUUCAGGAUUUGGGGAAAUGUUUGGCCCCUUCUCCAUCUGCUCUGUUACCAUCUUACCUCUGCCUUUUGUUUUCUGACUUCCAGGUAUUCUCCUUCCAUGAAGAGCCUUGGCAAUAAGUUCAUGCAUCUGACCAACUACAGUGUCAAUAAAAAGAAUGCCGAGUACCAGGCCAAUGCAGAUGAAAUGGCUUGCCAGGGCCACAAAUGGUACUGAGGGCAGAGUGUCCCAGUCCAGUGAAGGCCUAGAGGAAUACAGGGUUCUGGGGUUUUGGGAGGUUCAGGGGCAUGGUGAGUGGAGGAUUAAUAUAAGACCCAGAGAUAACACUUACCAAUUCAGAAUUGGUCUAUUUGAGGCCGGAUGUGGUGGCUCACACCUGUAAUCCUAGCACUUUGGGAGGCCAAGGUGGGUGGAUCACCUGAGUUCAGGAGUUCAAGACCAGCCUGGCCAACAUGGUGAAACCCUGUCUCUACUAAAAAUACAAAAAUUAGCUGGGCGUGGUGGCAGGCGCCUACAAUCCCAGCUGCUCAGGAGGUUGAGGCAGGAGAAUCACUUGAACCUGGGGGACAGAGGUUGCAGUGAGCUGAGAUCGUGCCACUUCACUCCAGCCUGGGUGAAAGAGCGAGACUCCAUCUC